GGGUUGUGAGGUUAAGCGACUAAGCGUACACGGUGGAUGCCCUGGCAGUCAGAGGCGAUGAAGGACGUGCUAAUCUGCGAUAAGCGUCGGUAAGGUGAUAUGAACCGUUAUAACCGGCGAUUUCCGAAUGGGGAAACCCAGUGUGAUUCGUCACACUAUCAUUACGUGAAUACAUAGCGUAAUGAAGCGAACCGGGGGAACUGAAACAUCUAAGUACCCCGAGGAAAAGAAAUCAACCGAGAUUCCCCCAGUAGCGGCGAGCGAACGGGGAGCAGCCCAGAGUCUGAAUCAGCUUGUGUGUUAGUGGAACGGUCUGGAAAGUCCGACGGUACAGGGUGAUAGUCCCGUACACCAAAAUGCACAGGUUGUGAACUCGAAGAGUAGGGCGGGACACGUGGUAUCCUGUCUGAAUAUGGGGGGACCAUCCUCCAAGGCUAAAUACUCCUGACUGACCGAUAGUGAACCAGUACCGUGAGGGAAAGGCGAAAAGAACCCCGGCGAGGGGAGUGAAAAAGAACCUGAAACCGUGUACGUACAAGCAGUGGGAGCAUCCUUUUGGGUGUGACUGCGUACCUUUUGUAUAAUGGGUCAGCGACUUAUAUUCUGUAGCAAGGUUAACCGUAUAGGGGAGCCGAAGGGAAACCGAGUCUUAACUGGGCGUUAAGUUGCAGGGUAUAGACCCGAAACCCGGUGAUCUAGCCAUGGGCAGGUUGAAGGUUGGGUAACACUAACUGGAGGACCGAACCGACUAAUGUUGAAAAAUUAGCGGAUGACUUGUGGCUGGGGGUGAAAGGCCAAUCAAACCGGGAGAUAGCUGGUUCUCCCCGAAAGCUAUUUAGGUAGCGCCUCGUGAACUCAUCUUCGGGGGUAGAGCACUGUUUCGGCUAGGGGGUCAUCCCGACUUACCAACCCGAUGCAAACUGCGAAUACCGAAGAAUGUUAUCACGGGAGACACACGGCGGGUGCUAACGUCCGUCGUGAAGAGGGAAACAACCCAGACCGCCAGCUAAGGUCCCAAAGUCAUGGUUAAGUGGGAAACGAUGUGGGAAGGCACAGACAGCCAGGAUGUUGGCUUAGAAGCAGCCAUCAUUUAAAGAAAGCGUAAUAGCUCACUGGUCGAGUCGGCCUGCGCGGAAGAUGUAACGGGGCUAAACCAUGCACCGAAGCUGCGGCAGCGACACUAUGUGUUGUUGGGUAGGGGAGCGUUCUGUAAGCCGUUGAAGGUGUGCUGUGAGGCAUGCUGGAGGUAUCAGAAGUGCGAAUGCUGACAUAAGUAACGAUAAUGCGGGUGAAAAACCCGCACGCCGGAAGACCAAGGGUUCCUGUCCAACGUUAAUCGGGGCAGGGUGAGUCGACCCCUAAGGCGAGGCCGAAAGGCGUAGUCGAUGGGAAACAGGUUAAUAUUCCUGUACUUGGUGUUACUGCGAAGGGGGGACGGAGAAGGCUAUGUUAGCCGGGCGACGGUUGUCCCGGUUUAAGCAUGUAGGCGGAGGUUCCAGGUAAAUCCGGUACCUUUUUAACGCUGAGGUGUGAUGACGAGGCACUACGGUGCUGAAGUAACAAAUGCCCUGCUUCCAGGAAAAGCCUCUAAGCAUCAGGUAACACGAAAUCGUACCCCAAACCGACACAGGUGGUCAGGUAGAGAAUACCAAGGCGCUUGAGAGAACUCGGGUGAAGGAACUAGGCAAAAUGGUGCCGUAACUUCGGGAGAAGGCACGCUGAUAUGUAGGUGAAGUGAUUUACUCAUGGAGCUGAAAUCAGUCGAAGAUACCAGCUGGCUGCAACUGUUUAUUAAAAACACAGCACUGUGCAAACACGAAAGUGGACGUAUACGGUGUGACGCCUGCCCGGUGCCGGAAGGUUAAUUGAUGGGGUUAUCCGUAAGGAGAAGCUCUUGAUCGAAGCCCCGGUAAACGGCGGCCGUAACUAUAACGGUCCUAAGGUAGCGAAAUUCCUUGUCGGGUAAGUUCCGACCUGCACGAAUGGCGUAAUGAUGGCCAGGCUGUCUCCACCCGAGACUCAGUGAAAUUGAACUCGCUGUGAAGAUGCAGUGUACCCGCGGCAAGACGGAAAGACCCCGUGAACCUUUACUAUAGCUUGACACUGAACACUGGUCCUUGAUGUGUAGGAUAGGUGGGAGGCUUUGAAGUGUGGACGCCAGUCUGCAUGGAGCCAUCCUUGAAAUACCACCCUUUAAUGGCUGGUGUUCUAACGUGGACCCGUAAUCCGGGUUGCGGACAGUGUCUGGUGGGUAGUUUGACUGGGGCGGUCUCCUCCUAAAGAGUAACGGAGGAGCACGAAGGUUAGCUAAUCCUGGUCGGACAUCAGGAGGUUAGUGCAAAGGCAUAAGCUAGCUUGACUGCGAGAGUGACGGCUCGAGCAGGUGCGAAAGCAGGUCUUAGUGAUCCGGUGGUUCUGAAUGGAAGGGCCAUCGCUCAACGGAUAAAAGGUACUCCGGGGAUAACAGGCUGAUACCGCCCAAGAGUUCAUAUCGACGGCGGUGUUUGGCACCUCGAUGUCGGCUCAUCACAUCCUGGGGCUGAAGUAGGUCCCAAGGGUAUGGCUGUUCGCCAUUUAAAGUGGUACGCGAGCUGGGUUUAGAACGUCGUGAGACAGUUCGGUCCCUAUCUGCCGUGGGCGCUGGAGAAUUGAGGGGGGCUGCUCCUAGUACGAGAGGACCGGAGUGGACGCAUCACUGGUGUUCGGGUUGUCAUGCCAAUGGCAUUGCCCGGUAGCUAAAUGCGGAAGAGAUAAGUGCUGAAAGCAUCUAAGCACGAAACUUGCCCCGAGAUGAGUUCUCCCUGAGACUUUAAGUCUCCUGAAGGAACGUUGAAGACGACGACGUUGAUAGGUCGGGUGUGUAAGUGUAGCGAUACAUUGAGCUAACCGAUACUAAUGAACCGUGAGGCUUAACCUUACAACGCCGAAG
rnacentral:rRNA from 1 species